GCCUGCAUAGGUCACGCCCACCUGGUGAUAGGCCCCGCCCCUCCCUCAGUCCCGCCCAGGCCACAGGUGGGCCCAGCUCGGACCCUGGGACCCAGAAACCCGCGCCCAGCUGUCACCCCCUACCCAGACUCAGUUGUGCCCACCGCAGUUUCUGCACCGGAUGUUUCUCACAUCUCCGACCUAAGAGCCAAUCAUCCCUAAAUCCCAGCUUUGUCCUGAAUCCUAAUCCCGUGUUCCUCCUUCCACCCUUCCGUCCAGAUGUUCCCAAAUUCCUUUUCUCUUGUUUUCCCGCCUCAGUGCUUCUCAGAAACCAGACAGAACAGGAUCUGCUGCCUAAAAUAGCCAUUUAACUACAGUAUCAACAGAAGAGCAAUAUGCCCAGUUACACAAGUGCACCGCCAACUCCCAUCAGCUCAGGGUGGCCAAUGAGAUGUAAGCGGAAGUUGUCAUGUGGGACUCAAGGAAUGCUCAGGGGGUCCUCUCGAAAAAAGGAUUCCACGGCUUCAAAGAGAUUGCAAACCACUUCUCCAGACCCACUCCUUCCUUCUGAGGAGGAUAUCAACAUCCUUCUGAGGAGGGGGUUCAGGACCUCACCCAGAUCGGCAGCAGCAGAACCAGUGCCAGAACUCCACUCUGACUCUGGCAGGUCCAGGGCUCCUUCCACAACACUGUACAGCCUCAGCUAUUCCAGCACAGGGCAGAGGCCCACAUGUUAGGGACCACGGAGCCCUGCCCUGGGCCGGGGGUCAAGUGAAGUGAUCUCUAAGGUUCCCUUCUAAUCCUGAGAGUCCAAGCUAUACAAGUUCACAACUGAAACCUGUGACCACUUUCCAAAUUGAGUAAUUGAAAGAAUAACACCUAUGUGCAUAUGUAAGUGCUCACAAAUUUAUUAAAAAAUGGAAGUUUU